rnacentral:lncRNA from 1 species
AUGUGUGUGUGUCUGUGCAUGACUGUGUGUGUCUGUGUCCACGUGUGUGUGCACGUCUCUGUGGUGUGUGUGUAUGUGUCUCUGACGGUACGUGUAUGUGUCUGCGUGUCUGUGUGCAUGUGUGUGCCUGUCUGUUGGUGUAUCUCUGUGUCUGUGUGCCCAUCUGUGCAUGUGUCUGCGUCCGUGUGUGUGUGUGUGCCUGUCUGUUGGUGUGUCUCUGUGUGUCCGUGUGUCUCCAUGUCCAUCUGUGCAUGUGUCUGCGUCUGUGUGUGUGUGUGUGCCUGUCUGUUGGUGUGUCUCUGUGUGUCCGUGUGUCUCCAUGUCCAUCUGUGCAUGUGUCUGCAUCUGUGUGUAGCGUGUCGCCUGUCACUGUAUGUGUGUGUGUGUGUAUGCACCCCAUCUGUGCAUGUGUCUGCGUCUGUGUGUGUGUGCCUGUAUCUGUGUGUGUGUCUGUGUGCCCAUCUGUGCAUGUGUCUGCGUGUGUGUGUGUGUGUGCCUGUCACUGUAUGUGUGUGUGUGUGUGUGUGCCCAUCUGUGCAUGUGUCUGCGUCUGUGUGUGUGUGUGUGCCUGUCUGUGUGUGUGUGUGUGUGUGUGUGUAUCUGUGUGUAUGUGUGCGUCUGUGUGUGCGUGUGCUAUCCUGUGUGUGUGUGUGUGUGUGUGCCACAUCUGUGCAUGUGUCUCGUCUGUGUGUGUGCCUGUCGCUGUGUGUGUGUGUACCCCAUCUGUGCAUGGCAUGCGUCUGUGUGUGUGUGCCUGUCAGCUGUGUGUGUCUGUGUGCCCAUCUGUGCAUGUCUGCGUCUGUGUGUGUGUGUACUUGCCUGUCGCUGUGUGUGUGUGUGUGUCUGCCCAUCAUGCAUGUGGCCUGCGUCUGUGUGUGUGUGUGCCCAUCUGUGCAUGUGUCUGCGUCUGUGUGUGUGUGCCUGUCGCUGUAUGUGUGUCUGUGUGCCCAUCUGUGCAUGUGUCUGCGUCUGUGUGCCUGUCGCUGUAUGUGUGUGUGUCUGUGUGCCCAUCUGUGCAUGUGUCUGGGUCUGUGUGUGCCUGUGGCUGUAUGUGUGUCUGUGCGUGCCCAUCUGUGCAUGUGUCUGCGUCUGUGUGUGUGUGCCUGUCGCUGUGUGUGUCUGUGUGCCCAUCUGUGCAUGUGUCUGCGUCUGUGUGUGUGUGUACUUACUAUGCGCUGUGUGUGUCAUAAUGUGCCCAUCUGUGCAGCAACCUUCGUCUGUGUGUGUGUGUGCCUGUCGCUGUAUGUGUGUGUGUGCCCAUCUGUGCAUGUGUCUGCGUCUGUGUGUGCCUGUGGCUGUAUGUGUGUGUGUCUGUGUGCCCAUCUGUGCAUGUGUCUGCGUCUGUGUGUGUGUGCCUGUCGCUGUGUGUCUGUGUGCCCAUCUGUGCAUGUGUCUGCGUCUGUGUGUGUGUGUGCCUGUGGCUGUAUGUGUGUGUCUGUGCCCAUGUGUGUGUGUGUCUGCGUCUGUGUGUGUGUGCCUGUAGCUGUGUGUGUGUGUGUGCCCAUCUGUGCAUGUGUCUGCGUCUGUGUGUGUGUGUGCCUGUCGCUGUGUGUGUCUGUGUGCCCAUCUGUGCAUGUGUCUGCGUCUGUGUGUGUGUGUGCCUGUGGCUGUGUGUGUGUCUGUGUGCCCAUCUGUGCAUGUGUCUGCGUCUGUGUGUGUGUGUGCCUGUGGCUGUAUGUGUGUGUGUGUCUGUGUGCCCAUCUGUGCCUGUGUCUGCGUCUGUGCGUGUGUGCCUGUCGAUGUGUGUGUGUGUGCCCAUCUGUGCAUGUGUGUGCGUCUGUGUGUGUGUGUGUGCCUGUGGCUGUAUGUGUGUGUCUGUGUGCCCAUGUGCAUGCCUGCGUCUGUGUGUCUGCGUGUCGCUGUGUGUGUCUGUGUGCCCAUCUGUGCAUGUGUCUGCGUCUGUGUGUGCGUGUGUCUGUCACUGUAUCUGUGUGUGUGUGUGUCUGUGUGCCCAUCUGUGCAUGUGUCUGCGUCUGUGUGUGCCUGUCGCUGUGUGUGUCUGUGUGCCCAUCUGUGCAUGUGUCUGCGUCUGAAUUUGUCUAUGUGGGCCUGUCAGGGUAUCUCUGUAUGUCCGUGCUUGCGUCUGUGUGUGCACGUCUUUCUGGUGUGUGCUUGCAUGUGUGCCUUUGUGUCUGCAUGUCUGUACGUCAGUGCAUUUGGAUGGGUGUAUGUGUGCGUGCCUGCGUGUCUGUGUCCGUGGGUAUACCUGUGCAUGUCUGUGUGUGGGUCCACAGAGACACGAGGGCAUCUCCAAACAGGUGGAUGAGCCUGGGUGCGCUGGUUCACACCUGUCAUCCCAGCACUUUGGGAGGCGGUGGAUCACCUGGCGUCAGGAGUUCAGAGACAACCCUGGCCAACAUGGUGAAACCAAAUCUCUAUAAUAAUACAAAAGAAACCAGCCCGGGGCGGUGCAGC